AAGCAAUACGUUAUCAUUCACCAGAAGUAUUAGUGGCUUUAGAUGAGUUAGCGUUGGCAAAUGAGCAGCUCACUGUCGUUUGCCAAGCUGCAUGGAGUAAUUUUUUGACGGGUUUUGGUGGAUACUUUGCCGAGUUCCAAGCUGUUGUGCAAGCCCUGGCUUCAUUGGAUUGUCUAAAUUCUCUCGCCAUUCUUUCGAGGAAUAAGAAUUAUGUCCGUCCGCUCUUUGUUGAAGAUGAUGAGGCUGUUCAGAUACAUAUAUGCUCUGGUCGUCAUCCGGUUCUGGAGGCUGUUUUACAAGAUAACUUUGUCCCAAAUGAUACAGAUUUGCAUGCAGAAAGAGAGUACUGUCAGAUUGUCACUGGACCAAAUAUGGGGGGGAAAAGUUGCUAUAUUCGCCAAGUUGCUCUUAUUGCUCUCAUGGCUCAGGUUGGAUCCUUUGUACCAGCGAUCUCUGCAAAACUACAUGUACUGGAUGGGAUAUAUACUCGCAUGGGUGCAUCAGACAGUAUUCAGCAGGGAAGGAGUACAUUCUUAGAAGAACUCAGUGAGGCUUCUGAUAUACUGAGAAAAUGCUCAGCCAAUUCACUGGUUAUACUUGAUGAGCUUGGGAGAGGCACCAGCACACAUGAUGGCGUAGCAAUUGCUUAUGCAACACUUCAAUAUCUCCUGGAGCACAAAAAAUGCAUGGUUCUAUUUGUUACUCAUUACCCUGAAAUUGUCAGUAUCAAGAAUAAGUUUCCAGGCUCUGUGGGACCAUACCAUGUGUCAUAUUUGACAUCCCAAAGAGAUGUGAAUGGGGAUUUCAAGUCAAAUGAGAAGAUGGAUCACAUUAAUG
rnacentral:misc_RNA from 1 species